AUGGAUGUAGAUUGCUUUCCUCUUAGGUUGAGCAGAUCAGCAUCUUCUAUUGCUGCUGAACCGCUAACGCAAAUCGAGGCCGCUCCUCUUGUUGAAGGGGGAUUCCCUCAUCUUUCGUACCUUCUUCGCAGGAGAAGGAGCACUGCAGUUGCUUCCUCUUUUGCUUGGCUCGUUCCUUCUUUUCUUUUCCCUUUUCUGCUGUCCUUCUGUAUUCUCAGUUUCCGCGCCUGCACAAGUGGUCACACCAUCAGCUUAAGCUUUUGUAAGAGAUGGAUAUUUCAUGUGCACACACAAGAUUGUACAUGGGCAUUACCACUACGUUCUGGAGAGGAUUCAUCAAGAUUAUAA
rnacentral:rRNA from 1 species